rnacentral:rRNA from 1 species
UGGGGAAUUUUGGACAAUGGGCGCAAGCCUGAUCCAGCAAUGCCGCGUGCAGGAAGAAGGCCUUCGGGUUGUAAACUGCUUUUGUCAGGGAAGAAAUCUUCUGGGCUAAUACCCCGGGAGGAUGACGGUACCUGAAGAAUAAGCACCGGCUAACUACGUGCCAGCAGCCGCGGUAAUACGUAGGGUGCGAGCGUUAAUCGGAAUUACUGGGCGUAAAGCGUGCGCAGGCGGUUAUGUAAGACAGAUGUGAAAUCCCCGGGCUCAACCUGGGAACUGCAUUUGUGACUGCAUGACUGGAGUGCGGCAGAGGGGGAUGGAAUUCCGCGUGUAGCAGUGAAAUGCGUAGAUAUGCGGAGGAACACCGAUGGCGAAGGCAAUCCCCUGGGCCUGCACUGACGCUCAUGCACGAAAGCGUGGGGAGCAAACAGGAUUAGAUACCCUGGUAGUCCACGCCCUAAAACGAUGUCAACUGGUUGUUGGACGGCUUGCUGUUCAGUAACGAAGCUAACGCGUGAAGUUG